rnacentral:rRNA from 1 species
GACGAACGCUGGCGGCGCGCCUAACACAUGCAAGUCGAACGAGAGAUGAGGAGCUUGCUCUUCAGAUCGAGUGGCGAACGGGUGAGUAACGCGUGAGGAACCUGCCUCAAAGAGAGGGACAACAGUUGGAAACGACUGCUAAUACCGCAUAAGCCCACGGCUCGGCAUCGAGCAGAGGGAAAAGGAGUGAUCCGCUUUGAGAUGGCCUCGCGUCCGAUUAGCUAGUUGGUGAGGUAACGGCCCACCAAGGCGACGAUCGGUAGCCGGACUGAGAGGUUGAACGGCCACAUUGGGACUGAGACACGGCCCAGACUCCUACGGGAGGCAGCAGUGGGGAAUAUUGCACAAUGGGGGAAACCCUGAUGCAGCGACGCCGCGUGGAGGAAGAAGGUCUUCGGAUUGUAAACUCCUGUUGUUGAGGAAGAUAAUGACGGUACUCAA